CCGANGAGUCGAAUUUGGAGGUUGUGCCCUUGAGGCGUGGCUUCCGGAGCUAACGCGUUAAAUCGACCGCCUGGGGAGUACGGCCGCAAGGUUAAAACUCAAAUGAAUUGACGGGGGCCCGCACAAGCGGUGGAGCAUGUGGUUUAAUUCGAUGCAACGCGAAGAACCUUACCUACUCUUGACAUCCAGAGAACUUUCCAGAGAUGGAUUGGUGCCUUCGGGAACUCUGAGACAGGUGCUGCAUGGCUGUCGUCAGCUCGUGUUGUGAAAUGUUGGGUUAAGUCCCGCAACGAGCGCAACCCUUAUCCUUUGUUGCCAGCGGUUCGGCCGGGAACUCAAAGGAGACUGCCAGUGAUAAACUGGAGGAAGGUGGGGAUGACGUCAAGUCAUCAUGGCCCUUACGAGUAGGGCUACACACGUGCUACAAUGGCAUAUACAAAGAGAAGCGACCUCGCGAGAGCAAGCGGACCUCAUAAAGUAUGUCGUAGUCCGGAUUGGAGUCUGCAACUCGACUCCAUGAAGUCGGAAUCGCUAGUAAUCGUAGAUCAGAAUGCUACGGUGAAUACAUUCCCGGGCCUUGUACACACCGCCCGUCACACCAUGGGAGUGGGUUGCAAAAGAAGUAGGUAGCUUAACCUUCGGGAGGGCGCUUACCACUUUGUGAUUCAUGACUGGGGUGAAGUCGUAACGAGGGUAACCGUC
rnacentral:rRNA from 1 species